GUGGCUCAGUUGUAGAGCUCUUGCCUUGCAUGCAUGAGGCCCUGGGUUCAAUUCCUCAGC
rnacentral:tRNA from 1 species